rnacentral:lncRNA from 1 species
CUGUGCUGGGAGGUCAGCAGCAGUGCCGGUGCUGGGACGCUUCCACCUCAGGAUUUCUGAAAGCUGGAGUCAAUGCUGUUCCCCUGACAUUGGGCUCCUAAUCUGUAGGAAAAAAUACCCGGAUUGCCAGAUACUGUUGAAAUUUUUAAAUUUCCUCAGAGGUUACACACUUCCUCUUCCAAUCACCCAGUUCCUUGGGGGAAACUUUCAGCCUGUGAUGAGAAGAGAAGGAUGCAGGCCUUGAAACCGUGAUCAAGGAGAUGAUGCCAGACUCCUUGGCAUCUGGCUUCCCACUUUGUUGCCUCUUCUGCCCAAGUUCGUCGUGCAUGUGUGCCGGAAUCAUCCAAGUGCUGCACACUGACCCUGGAAAACUUCAUCCUCAGGGCAGGUAACACACCAACUGACAUUAAUCGGCAAGCAGCCACCUGUAGCCCAACCUGCCCUUGGAGAGACAGCAUCGAAAUAAACUUACAGGAUUCAUAACCAGAGCUUCCUCCACACAGUUCUCUGUGCUGUUCUCCUGAAAAUCUACCACCUCCACAUUCUUCUCCCACCCUGGCCUGCAAGCCUGCAACUUUGGCUUAUAUUGCUUAUUAAGAACUGAUGAGAAUCUGAACACAGCAAAAAUUGAAUCCAGACACAAAAGAGAAUCUCUGCAAAUUUUUUCCCUGCCCUUUUUUAGACUAUUUCAUAAAUUCAUUUCUUAAAUAUAUUUCCUAAAUCAUUGAAAACAAUUAACAUUGUCCGAAAUACUUCAGAGUGAAUAAAACAUGAAGUAUUGAUACCAUGAUCUCGACAAGUUCUGUGUAUGACAGAAAAAGCCAAACACCAGGUAGCUUUAGCUCCAGUUAGCUCUUGAACUUCAAGUUUUAGUGCAUUUAUUUUUUUGUAAGCUCUGAUUGCCACCACCAAAGCUCCCACCUGGUUUCUGAAGAGCCAAAAC